CAAAAAAUAGUUUAUUAAGAAUUUUAAUUUUGGAGAUUAAAGGUAAUAAAAAAAAUAAUUAUAUAUUAUUAGU
rnacentral:tRNA from 1 species